rnacentral:rRNA from 1 species
GACAACGCUGGCGGCGUGGAUUAGGCAUGCAAGUCGAACGGUAUCAUCCUUCGGGGGUGAGAGAGUGGCGAACUGGUGAGUAACACGUAGGUUAUCUACCCUCAAGACGGGGACAACCCAGGGAAAACUUGGGCUAAUACCGGAUGUGAGCAACUUUAGUUGUUUGAAAGGUGGCGUAAGCUGUCGCUUGGGGAUGAGCCUGCGUCCUAUUAGUUAGUUGGUGAGGUAACGGCUCACCUAGGCAAUGAUAGGUAGGCGGCCUUAACGGGUGGUCGCCCACACUGGGAUUGAGAUACGGCCCAGACUCCUACGGGAGGCAGCAGUCGAGAAUAGUCUACAAUGGUCGGAAGACUGAUAGUGCGACGCCGCGUGAACGAUGAAUCCCUUCGGGGUGUAAAGUUCUUUUAUAUGUGAGCAGUGCUUCUUAUAUUAACAGUAUGGGGAGAGAGAUAUUAGCAUAUGAAUAAGCAACGGCUAACUCCGUG